rnacentral:rRNA from 1 species
UUUUAAAUGAAGACUAGAACAAAAGAUUUAACAUUCAAAUCUAUUUAUUUAUUCUAAAUUUUUAAUUUAUUCUAAAUGUAAAAAAACAUUUCUAAAAAAGAAAGACGACAAGACCCUAUUGAACUUAACUUUAGUUAAACUGGGGCAGUAAAUUAAUUAUUAUUUUAAUAUAAAUUUAAUUAUAAAAAUCCAAACAAAUUGAUAUAUCCAGUUACCAUAGGGAUAACAGCGCAAUUAUAUUUUUAAGCUCUUAUCUAAAAAAUAGAUUACGACCUCGAUGUUGAAUUAAUUACCUAAUUAAGGCAAAAUUUAAAAUAGGAAGUCUGUUCGACUUUUAAAUAAUUACAUGAUUUGAGUUCAGACCGGUGUAAGCCAGGUCGGUUUCUAUCUUCUAAUUUAAUUUUUACAGUACGAAAGGACCUAAAAAUAUAAAUUAAUUUAUUUAAUUUGGCAGAAAAAUGCGUUAGAAUUAGAAUCUAAUAAAACUCAU